UACGGAGGGUGCGAGCGUUGUCCGGAAUCAUUGGGCGUAAAGGGCGCGUAGGUGGCCACUUCAAGCGUGCGGUGAAAGUCGGGGGCUCAACCCCUGAUCGGCCGUGCGAACUGGGGGGCUGGAGCACUGUAGAGGCAGGCGGAAUUCCGGGUGUGAGCGGUGGAAUGCGUAGAGAGUCCGGAAGAACGACCGGUGGCGAAGGCGGCCUGCUGGGCAGUUUUGCUGACACUGGAGGCGCGACAGCGUGGGGAGCAAACAGG
rnacentral:rRNA from 1 species